CAGCGCCUCCUGCGCUGCCCACUCUCCUCGCUACGUGGUGGCCGAGCGAGGGCCUCGGGGCAGCAC
rnacentral:pre_miRNA from 1 species